UACGGGGGGUCCAAGCGUUGUUCGGAAUCACUGGGCGUAAAGCGCAUGUAGGUGGCUCUUCAAGUCAACUGUGAAAGCCCAGGGCCUAACCCUGGAAGUGCAGUUGAUACUGUUGAGCUUGAGUACGAGAGAGGAUAGUGGAAUUCCAGGUGUAGUGGUGAAAUACGUAGAUAUCUGGAGGAACAUCGGUGGCGAAGGCGGCUAUCUGGCUCGAUACUGACACUGAGAUGCGAAAGCGUGGGGAUCAAACAGG
rnacentral:rRNA from 1 species